ACUGCCAGGUGGUUUUUAUACGUGGAUCUCAUUCCUCUCAUUUGUACGCUGUCCAGUCCCGAGGAAUCGACUUAGAUCGCAGCUAACCUUCAUAUCUGAAGGCCACCCCUCUAUCCACAACCUAAAGACGCUUCGAUAAACUACUCUGAAAUUGACUGCCUGACGUCUUAUCCCGUUAGAGUACGAGAACCCUCGCUAGUCCGGUUCGAAAGCGAUGAAACCAA